UUUAACCCCUCUCAGCCUAUUUAGGACGUAGUGCGGAGACUGUUCAGGUGUAUACUUGAUAACAGUUGUUACGUAAUACUACAUGUUGGUUCUAUGUGUUGGCAGCAAGUUUGGUAAAACCUAGAGUGUUCACAAGUUGUCACAAGUCUUGUCUUGACAUAAGAUAACAUGUUCCUGCUGGGUGUUUAAAAUGUGAAUGUGUAGAAUUUUACUGAG
rnacentral:lncRNA from 1 species